CCGCCCACACACGUUGGCGCUGGUGCCAGUUUUGUGGCUGGAGCGGGGCAGUCCUUGGGCACAGGGAGAUACAAAUGCUCCGAGGCACAUCUCAGGCUCCUGAUACACCUCCGCACCAGGCCAGUCCAUACUCUCUGCCAACUGCUGACACAACUGAAAACCUUACCCUUGGUGGCCGGGAGGGGCGGCGUGGGGGAACGGAACGGACUGGGAGGCCGCUGUGUCUGUCCUCACUUGCUUUUUUAAGGAACUUACUCCCCAAGAUGCCAUCUGUGGCCCUUCCGAGCGUCCGAUCCACAGAAAUGGAGGAGCCCAUGGCCCCUCCCGCCCAGAGCUGCCCAACCCAGGCCAGAGCCAGUGGGAGAGAGUGCGAGAGUGAGUGGCCUGGAGGACUGCGGGUACCAGGGGACGUGGGUUCGAGCCCUGGUCCAGGAAGAUCCCACAUGCCGCGGAGC